AUGUCAGAAGAGCUGGCAAUGUUGGGACGAGCGGGUGUAGUUGGAGAUUCGUCGCACCCUCAACAUGAAGAUAUCCUUAGUGACCAUAGUCCGCAAAUGUCGAUUGAUGAGUUGCUGGAGGUAAUAAAAAGAGCCAAUGGAAUGCCGGUGUUGUUCGUUCCCUCCGGCGAUGGGCGGCUGGGGGCCAUAGCCGUAGACGGCCUUCAGAGUUUGAUGCCCACCAAUCGGGGCGAGGGCAGCGAGUAUGACGAAAAGAAGGAGCAAGCUUUCCGUUCCUGGAUGUUGCUUCUGGCAUCAUUGGUUGCUGCCAUCACUUUCACCGCGGGACUCACACCACCCGGCGGUUUCUGGUCCGUUGACGACAAGGACAACAAGUUCGUUGCUGGCGAGCCAAUCAUGCGUGACAAAUCUCGCUCGAGGUACGCAAUUUUUCAGACCGGCAACAUAAUGGCCUUCUACACGUCCUUGAUGAUCAUUGGGUUGCUCGCCAAGAAUAGGAACAACAAGACGGUCAUAAGUUUUGGUUUCAUUUUGCUUGUAGCACUUUGUUUUGUGUGCUUGGUAUUUAGCUUUAUCAGCGGCUCGUGGCAGGGCCCUAUACAAGGGGCGGUGAACGUCGUUCUUGUGCUUGCACUCAACGUUUUCUACAUGACGUUGCUACGGAUUAUCUCCUGGUGUUCAAGUAUAUUGUCAAGGCGUCAGGGAUCCCCGGAAUCGGUUCCUUAA
rnacentral:rRNA from 1 species